rnacentral:rRNA from 1 species
UACGUAGGUGGCAAGCGUUGUCCGGAUUUACUGGGCGUAAAGAGUGCGUAGGCGGUUUUCUAAGUUUGGUGUGAAAUCUCCCGGCUCAACUGGGAGGGUGCGCCGAAGACUGGAAGGCUUGAGUAUGGGAGAGGUAAGCGGAAUUCCUGGUGUAGCGGUGAAAUGCGUAGAUAUUGGUAGGAACACCAGUGGCGAAGGCGGCUCACUGGACCGGUUCUGACGCUGAUGCGCGAAAGCGUGGGGAGCAAACAGG